ACAGCAUAUUUUAUGGAGAAAAAAAAAAGUAAAAUUUAAAUUUUUGGAUCCAAAAAAGAUAUUGUGACUGCGCGCAAUGUGGUCAGUAGAAUCAGUGUUUGUUUCGUAAUAGUAUUUUAAAUGUUUUUUAGAGCAUAAAAUAAAUUUAAUUAUAAUAGUUAUACGCGAAAUUAGAGUCAGUGUUUGUUCGUCGAUUACACUACAAACAGAUGUGUUAAUAGUUUUUUAUUUUUAUUUUUUUAUUUUAAAUAUUUGUUUUCGGUAUGGUAGAUUCAGUGAUUCUUUGAAGAAAAUAAGCCAUUCAAGAAAAAUAGAUAUUUCCCAGUCCUUACAAUGAUUUUCCAUGGGCCACGACAGUGCUGAUGGCAAUGCAGAUACUUCGCAUCUAUUGGUGAGUCGCAUGUUUUUAUGUUCCUCCGAUCAUUUAAUCAUGUCGUAGGAUGAAAGAUCCGAAUCGACACGAAUGAUUGGUUGUAUACGUAGAAU